rnacentral:lncRNA from 1 species
CAAACGGCUUUUGUUCGAUCGAGGGGCAGAGAUAGAUAUGAGCUGACAGCUUAUGUUUUCUGAUAUUUUGUUUUGGGUGAGAUGUACACCGAAAGGAAUUGACGCUACAAACACUUUUCACCGGUAGUCCUAGAUCGAAAGUUAGCUCGACUCAAGUCGACAGGCGAGAGACAAGGUUGGGUGAGGGUACAAGGCAUCAUGUGGGAUCUACGAUCGACUGUGCCCGUUGUUGGCUUUGCAGAUGCUUUCAAAUACUCUAGCAGUAUAUUCCAUUCAUUGUAUAUAUCCCUUUUUCGUGUCAUUGACAUCAGAGAUUGCAUUCAAUCGAAUGGUUUGACAUAAAAAAUGUUCUAGUCUAUCUGUAGUAGUUCUGUUUGUUUAUAGUAGAGUAGUACAUGAGGGUGGCGACUCACAAGGGGAGUGUAGACCAGAGCAAGAGGGAGCCAAGCCAGCUACUGUGAUUGUGCCAUUUGGUGGGCCAAAGUAGUCUACCGGCGGUGAAAAGACGAUAGUAGACCAGACGGAGGCACCACCAGAACACCCGAAUAAGGAUCUAUUUUCUUUUGAAGCUAUAGUACAUAUGCACUUUAUACGUCUGUCUUACUAAUAAUAUUCCUUAGCGUACAUCUGUA